UGAGUACGAGACGCUAAGGCGUCGAAGUAGUGUAUGUCAUACUUCCAAGAAAAGCUUGCACUGUCAUUCAUAAAAAAUGCCUGUACCAUAACCGACACAGGUGGGUAGGUAGAGUAUACUAAGGGGCGCGAGAUAACUCUCUCUAAGGAACUCGGCAAAAUAACUCCGUAACUUCGGGAGAAGGAGUGCCUUAUUUAUAUAAGGUUGCAAUAACAAGAUCCAAGCAACUGUUUACCAAAAACACAGGUCUCCGCUAAGUCGUAAGACGAUGUAUGGGGGCUGACGCCUGCCCAGUGCUAGAAGGUUAAAGAAGUUGGUUAGCAAUAGCGAAGCUGAUAACUGAAGCCCUGGUGAACGGCGGCCGUAACGAUAACGGUCCUAAGGUAGCGAAAUUCCUUGUCGGGUAAGUUCCGACCCGCACGAAAGGCGUAAUGAUUUGGAUACUGUCUCGGAGAGGGACUCGGUGAAAUAGACUUGUCUGUGAAGAUGCGGACUACCUGCACCUGGACAGAAAGACCCUAUGAAGCUUUACUGUAACUUGAAAUUGAAAUUGGACUUUAUUCGCGCAGUAUAGGUGGGAGGCGUUGAAAAUAAUCUUGCGGGACUAUUGGAGCCAUCUGUGAGAUACCACUCUUAUAAUGUUAGAUUUCUAACUUUGAAUCAUUAUCUGGUCAAAGAACAGUUUCAGGCGGGCAGUUUGACUGGGGCGGUCGCCUCCCAAACGGUAACGGAGGCGUACAAAGGUUUCCUCUGAACGGGUAGAAAUCGUAUCUAGAGUAUAAAGGCAAAAGGAAGCUUGACUGUGAGACCUACAAGUCGAGCAGGGACGAAAGUCGGUCUUAGUGAUCUGACGGUACUGAGUGGAAAGGCCGUCACUCAACGGAUAAAAGUUACUCUAAGGAUAACAGGCUGAUCUCCCCCAAGAGUUCACAUCGACGGGGAGGUUUGGCACCUCGAUGUCGGCUCAUCGCAUCCUGGGGCGGUAGUACGUCCCAAGGGUUGGGCUGUUCGCCCAUGAAAGCGGUACGCGAGCUGGGUUCAGAACGUCGUGAGACAGUUCGGUCCAUAUCCGGUGUAGGCGUUAGAAUAUUGAGAGGAGCCUUCUUUAGUACGAGAGGACCGAGAAGGACAUACCUCUGGUGUACCAGUUAUCGUGCCAACGGUAAACGCUGGGUAGCUAUGUAUGGAGUGGAUAACCGCUGAAAGCAUCUAAGUGGGAAGCCCACCUCAAGAUGAG
rnacentral:rRNA from 1 species